CUCAGAAUGACAGUUUUACAGCACAAUGCCCUGACUGAAGAGAGAGACGCAUUGAAGAGACAGCUGAAACGUUUAGGAUGGGUGUAUUCCAACCAUAGUGCCUGUUACAUUUCUUCAAUCAAGAAAACCUGGAAAGAGAGAACAGAUGACUGUCUGCUCAAAGAAUUUCACAAGCCAGCUCAAGAAGAACAUGUGGAUUGGACUGACUGACUCAGAGAAAAAGGGGACAUGGAAAUGGGUGGAUGGGACUCCGCUGACCACAAGCUACUGGGGUCCUGAGGAGCCUAAUGGUCUUGGAAAGAAAGAUUGUGUGGAAAUAAAGUAUUAUGAUUUGGAAAA